GCUCAGCAGACGACGUAGUUCUUGUGCUCUUCCCGCCUCGCCUUUCUUUUCUUGGUUUCAAUCCUUGGUGUUGCAAGCCAAUUCCCGGGUCUUGUUAGGCGGGAAACACAGACUGCAUUACCCAUGUUUGAAACUGGAUUUGCGCGUUUGGGAAGCAAGAAUGGGGUUACUCUGCUGGAAAAGCUUGACAUUGCAAAUAAGGGAUUUUUACCCUACGGUUCCACAAGUUCCCACUAAGUAUCUGGUACGCGGAAGAGAGGGACAAGGAAGCACAGAAGCUCAGAACAGUUCGUUGUUCACCUCGUCUUUCUACCACAUAAUUCUGCCUCUAGAAAUACAGGAGAAAGAGUAGCCACGCAAAGCUUCUAGGAACUCCUGGGAGAAGCAUUCAUAAACUCUUAUUGCUGCCAGUUCAUCUUGGGGCCUUUCGGUGUGAAGAAAUGGAUCCUUAUCAAAUACUUUUGUGAAAGAACAUUUACAUCCUGCUUUAUUCCAGAAGAAAAGAUUUAAGUCACUUUGGUUACACAGGGAAAACCUGGAAGAGGGGAGAUACAGAAGAACCCAUACCUGCAUGGCCUGAAGACAGGCUAAAAGACUGAUGGGAGCUUGCGACCCUACAGAGUUGGAACCGCUCUGCGCUCACAGGCCUGGGAGCUUAGUGCCCAGUGGCCAGGGACCCCCCCUAGGAUUCCUUUGUGGAUCAAAGGCAAAGAAAGAAGGGCUUCUGAAGGCCUGGCACAGCUACAAGGAUUCUCCUGACAGUAUGGCACAUCUGUCUAGCACGUCAUGUUUCGGGGAAGCCUUUCCCAACGGUGUCAUGAGGCUGGCAGGGUGGGCAUUCUGUCCAUCAGCGAGGAGCAGAUGGAGAGCCAAAGAGGAUGAGUGAAUUGCCGACGCGCACGCCUGGUUCAGGAUCAGCAUCCAGGUCUCCUCAUUAAGUCCAAUGAGCUUUCAGCUCUGUCAUGCUGCCUCUUCUUCCCCAGAGGGCUUGGGAAACAUAAGCAACUGCCUACAGGAAAUAUGCUUCACCUUCCUCACAGACACGGCGUUCCAGAACCAGACUCCAUGGAAACAGAACACAGAGGGUGUGUACAUGCAUGUCUUCUAGACCCACUCCAGUUCUCAUCAGAAGCUGAUGAGCCACCCCACAGUUCACGGCGGGUCAGACCUAAUCCGUAUCCUCUUCAAAAUAGGCCAGAAAAAUGGAAUCACUGGAUAUCAGAAGAGAAAGGGAACCACAGAGUCUUGCUAGUCUAAUGCCUUUAUUUUAAGGAUGAAGAAAUAGCCUUUUGUUUUGUUUUUCAGAAUUAUUGAGAUAUAAUGUACAAAGUGGUAAGAUACUUAAAGUUACAACAUGAUUUUGAAACAACCUUGCCUUGUGAAAGGACUCCCCCAUCAUGUUAAUUACCCUAAUAAUCACUUCACAUAUUUACCUUUGUGUGUGUAUGUUUGAGAAUAUUUAAGUUCUACUCUCUCAGCAAAUUUCAAUUAUACAAAUACAGUGUUAUCAACUAUAGUCACCAUGUUAUACAGUAGAUCCUCAGACUUCAUUCAUCUUCUAUGCAG
rnacentral:lncRNA from 1 species